rnacentral:rRNA from 1 species
GAUGAACGCUGGCGGCGUGCCUAAUACAUGCAAGUCGAGCGAACGGACGAGAAGCUUGCUUCUCUGAUGUUAGCGGCGGACGGGUGAGUAACACGUGGAUAACCUACCUAUAAGACUGGGAUAACUUCGGGAAACCGGAGCUAAUACCGGAUGAUAUUUUGAACCGCAUGGUUCAAAAGUGAAAGACGGUCUUGCUGUCACUUAUAGAUGGAUCCGCGCUGCAUUAGCUAGUUGGUAAGGUAACGGCUUACCAAGGCAACGAUGCAUAGCCGACCUGAGAGGGUGAUCAGCCACACUGGAACUGAGACACGGUCCAGACUCCUACGGGAGGCAGCAGUGGGGAAUCUUCCGCAAUGGGCGAAAGCCUGACGCAGCAACGCCGCGUGAGUGAUGAAGGUCUUCGGAUCGUAAAACUCUGUUAUUAGGAAAGAACAUAUGUGUAAUUAACUGUGCACAUCUUGACGGUACCUAAUCAGAAAGCCACGGCUAACUACGUG